GCUUCUCUGGCCCAACGGUACGGCAGCUGCCUUGUAAGCAGCAGAUUGUGAGUUCGAAUCUCACGGGAAGCUCCA
rnacentral:tRNA from 1 species